rnacentral:sRNA from 1 species
GUUGUGGCUCGCGCGUCUUCCCAGGACUCCCCCGCGCCGGAGAGGCCCGCAGGACCGCCGAGCCCACACUCCGCUCCCGCCCGGGCCCCGCUCCCCCGCGCCGCCUUGGAAGGUGCUCGGGUCUUCGGGGCACUGGGUCCCAUCGGUCCCUCCUCACCUGGGCUCACCCUCGGGGGUCUGGCCGUGAGCGAGCACCGGCUCAGCAACAAGCUGCUGGCUUGGAGCGGCGUCCUCGAGUGGCAGGAGAAGCGCAGACCCUACUCUGACUCCACUGCAAAGCUGAAGCGGACCCUGCCCUGCCAAGCCUACGUGAACCAAGGCGAGAACCUGGAGACCGACCAGUGGCCGCAGAAGCUGAUCAUGCAGCUGAUCCCGCAGCAGCUGCUGACCACCCUGGGCCCCCUGUUCCGGAACUCCCAGUUGGCACAGUUCCACUUCACCAACAGAGACUGCGACUCGCUCAAGGGGCUCUGCCGCAUCAUGGGCAACGGCUUCGUGAGUGGGGCGGGCUCGGGUGCGUGAGGGGUGCGGGGGCCAGCUCCCUUGUAGCACUGUGGUGACAAGUACAGCUGGAGGCAGCGCUCUGCUCACAC